UACGAAGGGUGCAAGCGUUACUCGGAAUUACUGGGCGUAAAGCGUGCGUAGGUGGUUUGUUAAGUCUGAUGUGAAAGCCCUGGGCUCAACCUGGGAAUUGCAUUGGAUACUGGCAGGCUAGAGUGCGGUAGAGGGUAGUGGAAUUCCCGGUGUAGCAGUGAAAUGCGUAGAGAUCGGGAGGAACAUCUGUGGCGAAGGCGACUACCUGGACCAGCACUGACACUGAGGCACGAAAGCGUGGGGAUCAAACAGG
rnacentral:rRNA from 1 species